UGGGCCUGGAAGCAGAGACUGGGGCAGAAGCGGGGGGGAGAGGUAACCGCCGGCCCCAAAGAGCGCACAGAUGCUCUGUGCGGGGUCGGCUAGUUGUAUGUCUUUUGCAUGGCUUUGGAUUUGAUUUGGUAUCUUAAUUCAACUGAAAUGGGUUUUGGGUUGUGUUUGUGUGUGUUUUUGAAGGGAUGAUGGAGAUGACCGUUUUGGUAGAUUUACCCUACUGCUCCCUGAGGGCUUCCCCCCACCCCACCCUGCCGCAGGGGUGGUCUUUUGAUGUACGGCCUGCAUUCAACAUGACUGUGAUGAAUUCAAGAGACUUAGACCCUCAGACAAUGAAAGCAAAGUGAAUUUUCCUGGAACAGUCCUAGCAUCACCUCCUCGGCCUUACCUGAUGUGCCAAACAGGACGCCAGGAUUACCACACUACAAAUGAUGUGCAGGUGAUAUGACCAGGGAGGAAACAAGUGAGUAGUGUCGUGGCUGCCUUGUUUCCUGCACUCAGCUGGAGUUUUGAAAGGUCUAUGCAUCUGGGUUACAAACUGGCAAGCAGGCAAGUAAAACUGAAUGAUAACCAAUGCUGGCUUUUUUCACACCGGAAGCAAAAAGUGAGAAUUACUGAAGAAUUACUCUUCUGCUUGGGCCAGGAGCUUUUUGUGAUUUUGUUUUUAAUUGCACAAGUUGGAGGAAAGCAAAUGGUGUCUCCUAAUAACCAGUAGUGUCUGAGGGCUACAGUUCCUUCGGGCUGGGUACCUCUGGGAAUGCUGAAAUUAAUUAGCAAAUACAUUAUUUUAUAAUAUAAAUUAAAGUAUUGUAACAUACUUCUUUUGUAUGUACCAAUUUUGGGGGGUACAAAAAUAUACAUUUUUUUGGUACAUACAAAAUAUUUUGUACCAGUGUUUUCAUUAUGAAUGCUUCCUACAUAGGUAAUAAAUAGGUAAUCAUCCUCCACAUACUCAGAAAUGACCACCAUUUUCUCAAAGUUGCUUAGUUGUUUGAGCAAAUAGAAAACUGUAGCUAAAUUUAGUGAAGAUGACUUACCUGUAUUGCUUCCGUGUAUCAUAGCCAACAGCAUUUGUCUCCCAGAUUUUUGUUGCCAGAACCCGUACAGUAUUCAGGAACAGAACAAAGUUUAACUGUAAAGCAGUUUACAGAGUUGUGUCAUUUCACUAUUCUAAUCUAGUAACAUGGCCUGGCCGGCUACAUUUCUCUAUAACUGGAACAUCUGAGGGCAUCUUUCAACACCUCUUUAAUGACCGGAGCUGAAGGCAAGUUCUCCCUGCCAAGAGAGCUACUGUCAAGCCAUUCCAGAUUUAGAAGUGGGUUCUACACCUCCCAGCUUGCAGCACUAUCAUGCUUGUUUAACUUUGCCUAUCAGUCCAUUCCAAUUAACCUGGGCUUGACAAACAGUUGUGUGAAAGGUUUAUUUUAUCAAUUUCCUAUGGACCAGGCCUUUAUAGCCAUCAUGAGAGCUGGGUUGAUGUGUCACGUUAGGGGUGGAGUGUGUGAUUCCACUGAAUUCAGGGCCAAACUAGAACAAUGGGGGCAGCCACAGUGAUUAUGUGUCUGCCUUGCUCACAUAAAAAGCAAAGGUGGGGCUCAAAUGCAACCCACAGGGGAGAGGAACUGUGAAUGGGAUCCCUUCAGUUGGUCAGCCAGACUCUUUCCCCCUCCAAUCUGGCACCCAUACUGAAAGUCAACUGGGCAGGGAGAAAAGUGCCUGGGGCAAGGAACUGAGGGAAGGGAAGGCAAGAGCAAGUUCAGUCCCUCUCAUCUCCAUGUCCUUCUGAUAUUACAAUCAAACCAUUAUUCCCCAUUUUACAUGUGAACAAUUUAAACCAACUCACAAAUAAACUAAAAUGGGUGCUGCUGUCAAGUCCAGCUUGGCCCUCCAUAACAACAAAUAUUGUAUCCAAGUGGAAAGGCAUAUACAUAAAACUGUGAAGAAACUUUACAAUUUAAAAUCUCAAGCCAGAUGAUUUCUCUGGUGGAAUUCACUCUAAAUAUGCACUCAGUCCAUUGUGCUAGAAGUCACGUCAUCUUCCAUAUUCAAAUGCCACACUAUUUUAUUCUAAUCCUUUAACCAACAUGCUCCAUUCCAUUUUUGUUAUCUGUGUGUAUACACACUGGGCUGGUGGAUAAGGUCAUGCAAAAAAUUGGAGUAAAGCAAAUUUCUCCAGAUGGUAUGAUGGCCAGGGAAUUAGUGCAAGUGAGCCAAGUGAAGAUUAUGCCAGAAAAGACAGAAAUGUUGAUGGCAAGUAGAUUAUUUAACUUUGGAAGGUGUGGGGGCGAAGAUAAGAGAGAGAGAGAGGAACUGAUAGGGACAUAGGAAGCUGCUAUAUGCUGAGUCAGACCAUUGAACCAUCUAACGUAGUAUUGUCUACACAGACUGGCAGUGGUUUCUCCAGGAUUGCAGGCAGGAGGCUCUCAGCCCUACCUGAAGAUGCCAGGGUGGAAACUUGGAGCCUUCUGCAUGCAAGCAUGCCGAUGCUCUCCUCAGAGCAGCCCCUUUCCCUGAGGGGAAUAUCUUACAGUGCUCACUUGUGGUCUCCCAUUCAAAUGAAAACCAGGGCAGACCCUGUUUAGCAAAUGGGACAAUUCAUGCUUGGUACCACAAGGCCAGCUCUCCUCUCAGACUCGUCACUAAUAAGAUUCAGUCUCGCCUGGCAACUCACUAAUACAGAAGAAUGCAGAAAAGUCUGUCAUGGUCAACAGGAUACAAUUUUACCUAUUGAUCUCUGUAAAGGCAGGUCAGUUAACACCACAAGCUGUCUUAUUGCUCUGCUCAGGUCUAUAGGCAGGAAUCUGGAAAAGUGAUAGGAUGAUGGACAGGAACCUUAACCCCGCAGAAUGAUCAUCUAGCCUUCUGAUGUUAGGUUACAGGCACUCAGUUGUAUGGCUUGAUGGGGUUAGGCACCUGAGGCAAUGGCAGCCAGGCGCCUCCCCACCCUGCCCCAGAGCAGACCUGCUUCCAGAGCCAACUCCAACCCACUUCCUCGCAGAUCCCACCCCCUAGCUCCCUAGCUUUGCAAUCAGUGGUGAGGCAGUGUGUGGAGUCUGCCUCCAGCAACAGUGGCAGCUUCUUCCCUGGCUGCCCUCUUGCCAUUGGCUGCUUCACCCACCAGGGCUGCAUUCUCUCUCCCUCCCCUUACAGCACUCCACUUGUUGGUGCUGGAGAGGAGGGAGAGGGAAUGUGCUGGGGCUUGUACAACAUCAUAGCAGGCAGAAAAGGUUCCACAGCAGCAACCCAGAAGUGAAGGGGAAGAGUGUGGCGUCCAGGCUGUAGGGCAGGGGUGGAGCAGUGAGGGGGCCAGGAAAAGGUAGCGGUGGCAGUGGAGGAGGUGGUGCUGAGGCAGGGGCAACAGCCCCAGGCCAGUGAACAAUUCCAGGGGUGGGACUGGGUGUCCCCACUCACCAUCCCAUGGUGUAUAUACUGCCUGAGGUCACUGCCUCACCUUGCCUAAUGGAAAAGCCAUCCCUGGAUAAAGGUAAAGUGUGUCGUCAAGUCGAUUUCAACUCCUGAUGCCCACAGAGCACCAGCAGAGGUUUUCUUUUGGUAGAAUACAGGAGGGGUUUACCAUUGCCUCCUCCUGUGCAGUAUGAGUUGAUGCCUUUCAGCACCUUCCUAUAUCGCUGCUGCCCGGUAUAGUACCAGCAGGGAUUUGAACCGGCAACCUUCUGCUUGUUAGUCAAGCAUUUCCCUGUUGUGCCACUUAAGGUGACUCAUCCCUGCAUACAGAACAUUAAAAAGGGCAAAUGCUGAGGUCCUACUGGGCUUCUUUUGCUGUGACUGCCACUCGACUCAGCAGUCCAGCACAGGAUGUGUAUAUCUGUUAUAGGACUGGUGGCACUACAUGCCCACUUUGACAAACAGUUUCUUUCCAUUUCUUAUGAAAAGAAACCAAGCUGUGAGCAAGACAGUGCAGCUUUAAAGCUGUGCAGCUUUAAAGACAAAAGUUACUUCCACACUAACACUUUUCUCCAGAACUGAUUUCAUUUGCUUACUCGGCUUUUCUUUGAAUCUAGCUUAUAUCACGGCCACAUGGUUGCAGUCCAGGGCUUUCCCUGUUGUCCUCAUCUUUUGGGAGACCUGCUUUGUGCUUAUAUUUCUGACUUGCAGCCCAACUGCAGGAAACCACUUGCCCAGUGCAGACAGGGCCAGAUUAAGCUAGUGCAGGGCCUGCAGCAUAUGUUAUAAAGGGACCCUAAAAAAUUUUUAAUGCACAUAAAUAUUAAAACAUAAAUUAUUUACUUGCAUAGUAAAGUAAUUCAAUUUUUUCAUUUGCUAUAUUUUGGAGUAUGGGAGACCAAGCCACAAACUCACACUUACUACAACAACAGUGAACAUUUAUAUACCAUUUUUCAAUCAAAAUUCUCAAAGUGGUUUACAUAGAAAAAUAAAGAGUGGAUAGAUUAUUCUCUGUCUCCAAAGGUCUCACACUCGAAAAAGAAAAAUGUGUUAGGCACCAGCAACAGUCACUGGACAAAUGCUGUGCUAGGCCUUCUCUUAAAAGGCACAUUUAGCAGAAAAGGGAUAUUUUAUCUAACAUGGACCAAAUAAAACAGGUAAAGUUUUAACUUUAAUUCCCAUUUGGAAGCCGGGCGUGCGGGGCCCUCGAAAACGCGGGGCCUGUAGCAAAUGCUACAUUUGCUACUACGUUAAUCCACCAUAAAGUGCAAACUGACAGCCCUGUUGGUUCACUUGAUGGAGGAGUGUCUGUUGAGCCUGCUAGUAAAGACCCAAUUUCUUUCUCUGCCCCAACUCUCCCAUACCUUGUCUGGUUCCUUUUUUAAAUUAAAAGUAUUCCUAUGUGCAAAAAUAGUGAUAUGUAGAGAAGCCCUUAGGAUAUUCCCCCCACCCCCAAAAAAGCUUCCCUCCCCUGCUUAGAGCAGCAACAAUAUGUCAUGACCCAUUGCCAUGACUCUCCCUGGAAGAGUCCACCGAUGAGGAAGGAGACGGGGUGCAGGAACCCAAACCCUCCUUGCCAUGGCCUGAAGACGCUGUGCUGCUCUUAGACUCAGAAUCUGAGGGUGAAACUGAGGCAGCCUAGUCCUGCCAGGUGACUAUAGACAGCAGGUGAGACCCCUUUAAAUCCUCCAAGUCCUGCUCUUGUGGGAGAAGUUCUCUCCAUCCAAACCUGGGCUAUAGUGUGAAACCCGGCAGUUUGCUCCAGCCCUUUGUUGGAGCAACAGCUCGCGCAGAGCUCCUGUAGACCGGUUGCUGAGCCUGUUCUUGGAUUCCUAGCUCUAACUGCUGCGACCUCAGCCUGCUUGACUUUGCUCCUGCCUUGCCCUCAGUACCUGCCGAUCUCUGGUGUGACCUUGACCUGCUGGACUCAGUGUUGCCUCGCUUGUGUACUUGUUACCCUUGGUGGGGAUCUCAGACCAGUGCCCGUAUGCCUGCUGAGCACCUAUCCCGGUCCAUGCCUUUGUCUUGAGGACUGAUGCGAAGCAACAAAUGAGACCACCAUUCUGCAGGGUUGCACAAGGAAUAAGCUGAAUAUAUUAAACUCAAACAUUCACUGCCAUGGGUGUGGGAUAAGAAUCACCAUGGCACUCCCACAUGAAGCAGAGAAGAAAACAUCAGGGACUGCUCCCUCCACCCCCAUGUAGCACUCCUGCUUGCAAGGAAGGUCUGUAGCUUCAAACGAACUCAACUCUUCCUCCAGAACUAACUUAGUGAAGAUGAAAAACCCCGGCCUGCUGUUUCUCACAGCAUGUCUCAGACAUUCCUUGCAACUGAUAUAUUUGCAAGGAAAGGCUAUUGACAACAAUAACAAUAAAUAUUUAUAUACCGCUUUUCAACAAAAGUUUCCAAAGUGGUUUACAUAGAGAAAUAAUAAAUAAAUAAGAUGGCUCCCUGUCCCCAAAAGGCUCACAAUCUAAAAAGAAAUGCAACGUAGACACCAGCAACAGUCACUGGAAGUACUGUGCUGGGGGUGGACAGGGCCAGUUACUCUCCCCCUACUAAAUAAAGAGAAUCACCAUGUUAAAAAGGUGCUUCUUUGCCCAGUUAGCAGGGGUUAACUGGGACAAACAACGAUGUGCACAAAACCAGCUGGCCUGGUACGGUUCGAGUCUGAACUGGACCUGAACCAGACUAGGUCAGUUCAGUUUUUCCCCCCAUCAAACCACCUGGUCGGGAGGGGGAUGUCACAAUCAUUUUGUAAAAAUAAAUAAAUGGUAGUACUUACCCCCUCUGGAGCGCUUCUCCGAUGCCACGGGAGGCUCCAUGGAGGUUUCCCCUCCCUUCGGUGACCUUCCUUAUGCCAAAAAUCGCCCGGUUCAGGCGUUCUUUGGCCCUUUCCCCCUCACAGUGGCCAUUUUGGAGGCUGCUGCACAUGUGUGGGGGGGGGAGGAGUUGGUCCAGGAUUGGACCGAACAGUGGGAAUAGCCUCCCUACUGAGGUUCACCUGGCCUCAUUGCUUUAUUCUUUUACAUGCCAGGUAAAUACCUUUUUGUUCACUCAGGCCUUUUAAAUUUUGGUUUUUAAAUUUGCUUUUUAACUGAUUUUUAAAGAGUUUUAAAAUUGCCUCCUAUUCUGUUUUCUGUUUUCUUUUUCCCCUUUUGUUCUGUUAUGAUUUAAUAUGUUGUAUAUUUCUAUUUCAUGUCUUAAUGUUGUAUUGUGAGUUGCCCAGAGAACAAUUUGUUAUGGCACGGCUAACAAAUAACAUUUAUUUAUUUAUUAUCA